CGCGUAGGCGGUAAUGUAAGUCAGAUGUGAAAUACUCAGGCUUAACCAGAGAACAGCAUCUGAAACUGCAUAACUAGAGUACAGAAGAGGGAAACGGAAUUCCCGGUGUAGAGGUGAAAUUCGUAGAUAUCGGGAGGAACACCAGUGGCGAAGGCGGUUUCCUGGUCUGAUACUGACGCUGAGGCGCGAAAGCGUGGGGAGCAAACA
rnacentral:rRNA from 1 species